GAUGAACGCUGGCGGCGUGCCUAAUACAUGCAAGUCGAGCGAACAGACGAGGAGCUUGCUUCUCUGACGUUAGCGGCGGACGGGUGAGUAACACGUGGAUAACCUACCUAUAAGACUGGGAUAACUUCGGGAAACCGGAGCUAAUACCGGAUAAUAUUUUGAACCGCAUGGUUCAAUAGUGAAAGACGGUCUUGCUGUCACUUAUAGAUGGAUCCGCGCCGCAUUAGCUAGUUGGUAAGGUAACGGCUUACCAAGGCAACGAUGCAUAGCCGACCUGAGAGGGUGAUCGGCCACACUGGAACUGAGACACGGUCCAGACUCCUACGGGAGGCAGCAGUAGGGAAUCUUCCGCAAUGGGCGAAAGCUUGACGGAGCAACGCCGCGUGAGUGAUGAAGGUCUUCGGAUCGUAAAACUCUGUUAUUAGGGAAGAACAAAUGUGUAAGUAACUAUGCACGUCUUGACGGUACCUAAUCAGAAAGCCACGGCUAACUACGUG
rnacentral:rRNA from 1 species